UACGUAGGGUGCAAGCGUUAAUCGGAAUUACUGGGCGUAAAGCGUGCGCAGGCGGUUUUGUAAGUCUGACGUGAAAGCCCCGGGCUCAACCUGGGAAUUGCGUUGGAGACUGCAAGGCUUGAAUCUGGCAGAGGGGGGUAGAAUUCCACGUGUAGCAGUGAAAUGCGUAGAGAUGUGGAGGAACACCGAUGGCGAAGGCAGCCCCCUGGGUCAAGAUUGACGCUCAUGCACGAAAGCGUGGGGAGCAAA
rnacentral:rRNA from 1 species